UUUGCUGGGUGGAAAAGCACCUCUACACUGCAAUACAGACACAGCUCCCACCCAGCUGAGGUGUCUCAAGCCCCCUAAGGGUUAGGCAGAUCCAAGCUGAACCCAGAUAAGAUGGUAUGUAGAGAAGUACUAAGUUUGGGAAGCAGUAUACCUUGUCUGGCACCAGGCUGCUCCUUGUUAAUGAGUCCCUCUGCAAGAUUCAUUAACUUGGCCAAAGUGCUUGGCUGACAAAAUUAUCAUGGAGAGGUCUGUGCAGCUUUCUGAUGGACCUCCACCUGUGCUGCUCUGUCUGUUCUACCUCUCAGUGGGCACUGGGCUCAAGUGGGCACUGAGGACAUGUUUAGAAAACCAGAGGUCCAGGACCAGUAAGCAAAUCUGCAGCCAGCUUCCACGGGGCUCGGGGGCCUUGUUUUGAGAACUGUGCAAGUCUGUUGCACCUGAGGUCUCUGCAAGAAGAUGAGUGAAGGAGUAACAGCUGGAAGAUGAGCUGUCACCCUUGGGUCAUUAUUCACAUCUUGCACUGCUGAAGGAGUCCAAGGUUCAAACUUUCCUCCUGGAUUGCUACUGGAUUUUCCACGAAUUGUGUUGAAGGGUAUGGCCUUUGAUCCCAGACUUUGCUCCUGCCUCUCUGGGCUGGUACCUCCUGCUGGAAUGGCAGGAGGAGAGAGGCACAGCACACACUGACAGCUCAUUUCUGCUCAUCUCUCCCACACCAGAGCACAACACACGAUGCACACUGAGAGAACUAGGCAGUUCACAACACAGGUCACUUGUGAAAAUAAGAAACAGUCUCCCAAGCAGCCUACUUAGCUCAGGAAAGCCAGAGCAAUUUUUCCUUGUCUCAGGGUCAGCGCAAACAUCUCCCUUGCCCCCUGUGCCAAGCUGUAGCCUUUACCUUAAAACUCUUCCUCCUUGGCUCCUCGUGACCUGCAGCCAUUCAGGACUGCCCAAGUUGAGCUGCGAAAUAGGGUUAGGAAAUUUGCUGUCACUAUCUGCACAUCUGCAGGGUACCUGGACACACACCUCAGGUCCACGUGGCCUGCCCCCAGCUGGCAUUGCUUGUACAUGGGAAUGGGCUGUUUGUGGCUUUUGGGUAUCUGCUCAAAGAGGCACUCACCCUACAGCAUGAAAACUGCCAGAGAUCAGAUAUCUUUGCUGGGAAAUGAUCUUCUUAUCCUGUGAAGCUUUGCGAUUUAAAAGACGUUCCAGUUUGACAUAUCCUAAAGAUAUAUUGUUGUUUUCUUUGGGAAAAACACAGAAAAUGAGCUCUCCUGAAUCUUAUGGUUGUCACUGGAUUCACUCAUGAGGAAGAAAACUCAUGCUCAAACUUCUGCUCUAGAGUGAGUCAAACG